AUCUGGGCGGCGGAAUUCAGGACGGCUGGGGGGUUUUUCGCUCUUUCGGCCGUUUGAUAUUUCCGUCGCCGUGUCAGACGUCGCGACCUGUUUGUCGUCGGUCCUUGCUCGGAGGAAUUGCGAUCGAGUUCGUUGCGGGCGCGCUUCGGUGUGUCCCGCGGCGAAGACGCGACUCUCUGGCUGACGACGGACAGUAAGCAACGGUGGCCGGCGCCGUGUCUCGCACUCGGCGUCGGUACCGGUCAGCGACGAUUUCUUCGGGCCUCUUUCCGACCCGUCUUGAAACACGGACCAAGGAGUCUAACAUGCGCGCGAGUCGCGGGGUUUCGAGCGUGCCACGGUGCGCUCGUUACUUCCGAAACCCGUACGUUGAAGGCGUAAUGAAAGUGAACAGGGAAGAUGGCGUUCCGAGUCCACGUACCGUGAUCGAGUAUCGCGGCCGGACGCCCGCACUCCCGGGGCGUCUCAAUGGCUCGCCACGGAUGCGGACGAUCGUCUUUCGGGGCGGUCGUCGGUCUGUGGCGGUCCGA
rnacentral:rRNA from 1 species